GAUGAACGCUGGCUACAGGCUUAACACAUGCAAGUCGAGGGGAAACGACGGGGAAGCUUGCUUCCCCGGGCGUCGACCGGCGCACGGGUGAGUAACGCGUAUCCAACCUGCCUCUGACUGAGGGAUAACCCGUCGAAAGUCGGCCUAAUACCUCAUGGUAUCGUCUGCGGGCAUCCAACGACGAUUAAAGAUUUCAUCGGUCAGGGAUGGGGAUGCGUCUGAUUAGCUUGUUGGCGGGGUAACGGCCCACCAAGGCUACGAUCAGUAGGGGUUCUGAGAGGAAGGUCCCCCACAUUGGAACUGAGACACGGUCCAAACUCCUACGGGAGGCUGCAGUGAGGAAUAUUGGUCAAUGGGCGAGAGCCUGAACCAGCCAAGUAGCGUGCAGGAAGACGGCCCUAUGGGUUGUAAACUGCUUUUAGGCGGGGAUAAAGUGAGGGACGUGUCCCUCAUUGCAGGUACCGCAUGAAUAAGGACCGGCUAAUUCCGUG
rnacentral:rRNA from 1 species